UACAGAGGGUGCGAGCGUUAAUCGGAAUUACUGGGCGUAAAGCGCGUGUAGGCGGCCCGGUAAGUCCGCUGUGAAAGUCGGGGGCUCAACCCUCGAAUGCCGGUGGAUACUGUCGGGCUAGAGUACGGAAGAGGCGAGUGGAAUUCCUGGUGUAGCGGUGAAAUGCGCAGAUAUCAGGAGGAACACCAAUUGCGAAGGCAGCUCGCUGGGACGUCACUGACGCUGAGACGCGAAAGCGUGGGGAGCAAACAGG
rnacentral:rRNA from 1 species